rnacentral:rRNA from 1 species
UAUCAAAAGCGGAGGAAAAGAAACCAACAGGGAUUGCCCCAGUAGCGGCGAGUGAAGCGGCAAGAGCUCAGAUUUGAAAUCGUGUUUCGGCACGAGUUGUAGAGUGUAGGCGGGAGUCUCUGUGGAGCGCGGUGUCCAAGUCCCUUGGAACAGGGUGCCUGAGAGGGUGAGAGCCCCGUAGGGUGCUGCGCGAAGCUUUUGAGGCCCUGCUGACGAGUCGAGUUGUUUGGGAAUGCAGCUCCAAGCGGGUGGUAAAUUCCAUCUAAGGCUAAAUAUUGGCGAGAGACCGAUAGCGAACAAGUACUGUGAAGGAAAGAUGAAAAGCACUUUGAAAAGAGAGUGAAACAGCACGUGAAAUUGUUGAAAGGGAAGGGUAUUGGGCUCGACAUGGGGGGUGCGCACCGCUGUCUCUUGUAGGCGGCGCUCUGGGCGCCCUCUGGGCCAGCAUCGGUUCCUGCUGCGGGAGAAGGGGCUCCGGAAAGUGGCUCUUCGGAGUGUUAUAGCCGGGGCCAGAUGCCGCGUGUGGGGACCGAGGACUGCGGCUUCUGUCUCGGAUGCUGGCAUAACGGCGCAAUACCGCCCGUCUUGAAACACGG